UACAGAGGUCUCAAGCGUUGUUCGGAUUCAUUGGGCGUAAAGGGUGCGUAGGCGGCGCGGUAAGUCGGAUGUGAAAUCUUGGAGCUUAACUCCGAAACUGCAUUCGAUACUGCCGUGCUUGAGGACUGGAGAGGAGACUGGAAUUUACGGUGUAGCGGUGAAAUGCGUAGAUAUCGUAAGGAAGACCAGUGGCGAAGGCGGGUCUCUGGGCCUGACCUGACGCUGAGGAGCGAAAGCGUGGGGAGCGAACAGG
rnacentral:rRNA from 1 species